rnacentral:rRNA from 1 species
UACGGAGGGUGCUAGCGUUGUUCGGAAUUACUGGGCGUAAAGCGCCCGUAGGCGGCUUUGUAAGUUCGCGGUGAAAGCCCGGGGCUCAACUCCGGAAUUGCCUUUAAGACUGCAUCGCUAGAAUUGUGGAGAGGUAAGUGGAAUUCCGAGUGUAGAGGUGAAAUUCGUAGAUAUUCGGAAGAACACCAGUGGCGAAGGCGACUUACUGGACACAUAUUGACGCUGAGGGGCGAAAGCGUGGGGAGCAAACAGG